rnacentral:rRNA from 1 species
GAUGGACGCUGGCGGCGUGCUUAACACAUGCAAGUCGAACGGAAAGGCCCAAGUUUGCUUGGGUACUCGAGUGGCGAACGGGUGAGUAACACGUGGGUGAUCUGCCCUGCACUUCGGUAUAAGCCUGGGAAACUGGGUCUAAUACCGGAGAGGACCACGCCGCGGGGGGUGUGUUGGAAAGUUUUGUCGGUGUGGGAUGAGCUCGCGGCCUAUCAGCUUGUUGGUGGGGUAAUGGCCUACCAAGGCGUCGACGGGUAGCCGGCCUGAGAGGGUGUACGGCCACAUUGGGACUGAGAUACGGCCCAGACUCCUACGGGAGGCAGCAGUGGGGAAUAUUGCACAAUGGGCGCAAGCCUGAUGCAGCGACGCCGCGUGGGGGAUGACGGCCUUCGGGUUGUAAACCCCUUUCGCUAGGGACGAAGCGUUGUGUGACGGUAGCUGGUAAAGAAGCACCGGCUAACUACGUG